UCUUCGGAGACAUCCGAUGAAUUUGGAASGAUACAGAGAAGAUUAGYAUGGGCCCUGCGCAAGGAUGACACGCACAAAUCGAGAAAUGUUUUGAUCGAUGAUGAACUCUGAGAAAGAUUCCAUUAGAAGAUUCGGAAGGCUAAGCCAUCUGGAUCAACCCCUUUUUGGCGUUCUUCGUCCAUUUUAAAAAUUUCUGCUUUUGGGGUGGAGAAACAAGGUAGGGUUUCUGUGUACCUUUCAAAGCAAAUUCGGAUAAAUUUUUCUCUUAGCUUUCCUCCUUUCUGAAUUAUUCAGUGAGAAAACUCUAUCACUGCCAUUUCAGAACUCUUGGCGAUGAAAUUAAUGAUCUUUAACAUUAGAAAGUGUUAGUUUAAGGAAAAGAAAAUACAGAAAAGUGUGUUGAAGGCUCAUUAAACAUGUCACGCGAAGCAUCUUCUAUGGUUUGGAGGUAUUCAGUGGAGAGGAUGAUAGUGUUCUUGUUUGUCUGAUCUUCAUGACCUAGGUUGUAAAUCUAUAUCUUUUUAGAGCUAUUUUAGUCACAUUAGCGGAAUACUUAUUUGUGGUUA